rnacentral:lncRNA from 1 species
AUAUAUGUGGAGUACCAUUAGGAGUUAACAUCCAGACUGAGAAAUUAUAGAUUAGGAGGUUUGAUUUUAAAAACAAAACAAAAAAUGACAAGGAUUUUUGCCUUUCAAAUAUCUCCUAAGAGAGCAUUUUUUUAUGAAUCAAAUGAUAUUAGAGAGUAAUUUUACAGAAUUUAAAACCAAUAAGUGACUGAAAUCAUCAACAGGCAUUAAAGAUUCCCCCCAAAUGGGUGUUUAUAGCAGAUGAUUUGCAGUUGGCAGAAAUCGGAGUUGUCAUAAGGGUCUUUUUUUGAGAGAACAUCAUGGACUUUCACAGGAGCUGAGAAGGGCCACAGGGGCAGGCCAAGGGUCUGGAAACAGCUGCUCUAUACCCUCCCCAGUGUGUCUCCAAGACUGUCUACUUCAAAAGGAUUAUCUUCACGCUGCUGUUCCAAUGCCUGGAAACUCACAUUUGGUAAGUUGGUAAAAUGCUGACUGAACACACUCAAACCAAGAAAGCAACUGUGUGCCAUAAAGGGCAUUAAGCA